rnacentral:rRNA from 1 species
CCUACGGGUGGCUGCAGUCGAGAAUCAUUCACAAUGGGGGAAACCCUGAUGGUGCGACGCCGCGUGGGGGAAUGAAGGUCUUCGGAUUGUAAACCCCUUUCAUGUGGGAGCAAAUUAAAAAGAUAGUACCACAAGAGGAAGAGACGGCUAACUCUGUGCCAGCAGCCGCGGUAAUACAGAGGUCUCAAGCGUUGUUCGGAAUCACUGGGCGUAAAGCGUGCGUAGGCUGUUUCGUAAGUCGUGUGUGAAAGGCGCGGGCUCAACCCGCGGACGGCACAUGAUACUGCGAGACUAGAGUAAGGGAGGGGGAAGCGGAAUUCGCGGUGUAGCAGUGAAAUGCGUAGAUAUGGAGAGGAACACUCGUGGCGAAGGCGGGUUCCUGGACAUUAACUGACGCUGAGGCACGAAGGCCAGGGGAGCGAAAGGGAUUAGAUACCCCAGUAGUC